CAAUAAAGCUGGGGACAAGGCAUCUGGCCGCAAAACGCUCUGGCCAUAAGUGUGCCACCAAGGAGCAUGUCCAGACGGGCACCAAACAACAGGAAGAGCAAUCGACCGUUCAUCAACAGGGUGACCAAUUCCAACAGUCUCUGUCUGAGAAACACCCCAGCAGGGAUGAUGAAUUGGAGAAUAGAGUGAAGCAACUGUGGGCAAUGUCUUCGGAUGGAGUGGACAGGGCAACCGCACGAUUUUUGUUGGAGGGAUCCGUUGCCAUCCUGCACCUCCAUGACUUCCUUACAUUGAAGCCCAAUGAGUGGCUUAGUGGGGAGGUAUGUUAAGCUCCCCCACAUGUUAUGGUUGAAUUGUAUGAAAUUUCCAUGCGUGCAGUUGGUAUAAAGUACAAUUAGAGUUGUUGACUGAGGUGACUAUUGCCUGAGCAUCAUGUGAACUUUGACCAACCAUAUGCCAUUCUGCUUUAGGUAAUUGACUUCUACCUCCAACUGAAGAGGGUUGACAUUCAAGUGGAGAAGGAUGUUUUUAUUGUGGAUCACUUUGUGGCAGGGAUUAUCCUGCAUGGGGAUAAGGUGGCGAUGCGCAAGAACACCUUGUCAAAGGUAAAGGCAUGUCCGCAGAGUUAUUUUUGUGUCAUGUUUCUAAAUAAGAGGCUAGACGGGUCAAUGUAGGGAGAGCUGCCACCUGCCUGACAAAAGAUUGCCUGGCACACCGUAUAGAUGCAUCUUCACUCCUAUUCCUGUAGACCAAUCUGGAGCAGCACAGUUGCUUGAUUGGCGUUUGCAACGUGGGAAACUACCACUGGAUACUCUUGGUAAGCUCUACAAGAUUUACCAUUUUAGUGAGAGAUUAGACAGUAUUAUUCUUGAAUAUGUUAUGUUUGAGGCCAUUUUGAUAUACUGACUUGGAAUUACCACUUGUGUUUGUUUAGUAUGUCAAUCGCAGGACCCACUCUGCCAUUGUUCUGGACCCUACUGGUUCCCCUAACACAGAGAGCCAUAUGAGCGAGAACCUGGUUAAGCACAUCAGGUAUGGUCAAUCCAGGGGUGUAAAAAUAGUUUUUAGGGGUAUCUGUACCUUACAUUGGUAUAUACAUUUUUUUUACCACUAUUACUUUACUACAUUCCUAAAGAUAUGUCGUUUUUACUCCAUAUACAUUUUCCCUGACACCAAAACCGUUACAUUUUGAAUGCUGAGCAGGACAGAAAUUGUCCCAUUCAAACUACUGCCUCUGAUCUGGCGGACUCACUACACACGUUUUGUUUGUAAAUUAUGUCUGAGUGUUGGCGUGUGCUUCUUGCACUGUAAAUUCUAAAAAAACUAGAAUCUUGCCUUCUGGUUUGCUGACAUAAGUUAUACAUAAGUUAUACUUAAACUAUACUACCGUUCCAAAGUUUGGGAUCACUAUAAAAUGUCAUUGUUU